rnacentral:rRNA from 1 species
UGAAUCCUGGCUCAGGAUGAACGCCGGCGGUGUGCCUAAUACAUGCAAGUCGUACGCACUGGCCCAACUGAUUGAUGGUGCUUGCACCAGAUUGACGAUGGAUCACCAGUGAGUGGCGGACGGGUGAGUAACACGUGGGUAACCUGCCCCGGAGCGGGGGAUAACAUUUGGAAACAGAUGCUAAUACCGCAUAACUACGAAGACCACAUGGUCUUCGUAUAAAAGAUGGCUCUGCUAUCACUCUGGGAUGGACCCGCGGUGCAUUAGCUAGUUGGUAAGGUAACGGCUUACCAAGGCGAUGAUGCAUAGCCGAGUUGAGAGACUGAUCGGCCACAAUGGAACUGAGACACGGUCCAUACUCCUACGGGAGGCAGCAGUAGGGAAUCUUCCACAAUGGGCGCAAGCCUGAUGGAGCAACACCGCGUGAGUGAAGAAGGGUUUCGGCUCGUAAAGCUCUGUUGUUGGAGAAGAACGUACCUGAGAGUAACUGUUCAGGUAGUGACGGUAUCCAACCAGAAAGUCACGGCUAACUACGUGCCAGCAGCCGCGGUAAUACGUAGGUGGCAAGCGUUAUCCGGAUUUAUUGGGCGUAAAGCGAGCGCAGGCGGUUGCUUAGGUCUGAUGUGAAAGCCUUCGGCUUAACCGAAGAAGUGCAUCGGAAACCGGGCGACUUGAGUGCAGAAGAGGACAGUGGAACUCCAUGUGUAGCGGUGGAAUGCGUAGAUAUAUGGAAGAACACCAGUGGCGAAGGCGGCUGUCUGGUCUGCAACUGACGCUGAGGCUCGAAAGCAUGGGUAGCGAACAGGAUUAGAUACCCUGGUAGU